rnacentral:lncRNA from 1 species
CUGGGAGGCAGAAGUUCUUGUGCUGGCCAGGAGGCCUGGGAACGGGGUGCUGAUGAGUGGCAGGAUGAGCACAGGGAUACUGGGCUGACAUGGGAGGUGAACAGACUGGAUGGAGGAAGCAGACUGGCCCUGCAGUACUGGGCUGAUCUGAACUGGGCAGGAGGUUAUUCUUAUGCCUMGCUGAGAUGAACUCAUGCAUGCUUGUAAGGAGCCUGGCCAUGACAUUACUUAGUUAAAUCCAGACUCUCACUGCUUGCUAGCUGCAUCUUUGUUGGAUCCAGAAGAUGAGCAUACUGGAUGUUUUUGGAAGAUUGACCUCUGCCAUUUUCCAGUUUCUGGAUCUCACCAGCCUUUUCCAAACUAGUUUAAGCUCACAUUGAUUCCCCCACCUCCCACCCCUGGUUCCCUCCUGAAACACAGUCAAGGACUGAGGAGGCAAAUGGGGGCUCUCCUUCCACCAGCUCCCUGUAGGUGUGCAGAAGGGGACAGGGAAGCUCGAGCCCAACAGAAGCAUUACAGACCUUGACCAGUGAUUAACGCUCUUCUCCAGGCUGGUUCACACGGCAAAGUCGCUGCCCUGGACUGCCCCAUCCUUCACGCAUACCRAGAGAUGAAUUGCUGGUGGCCUGGUCUGCGCAGACUGGAGCAUGCUGGGAAGAACUAUCGGGUCACCGCUCCCUGGGCACACGGCAGAGCUUUAACAGGCCUGGGUGAACAGAGUGUAAAGGGUUCAGGUGCCUUUGAACGUCCCAGAAACCAUUUCUGGUAAAAAAAGCACUCACUGAAACCUGCUGCACAGGCCUCCUGUUCAGUCGCACACCAAGCUGGACUGAGCACAAGCAGAGCUCUUAGCUGGGGUUGAUCCCACCAAAACUAACACAAGGGCCGGAAUCCACUUGGGCUGGGAAAGGAACACUCUCUCAUUGCCGUACAGCUGAAUUUCUUCCUAGAAGAAGCGAACGCUUAUUUCCUCCCCAUUAUUAAAUUAAGCUGAACCCUAUGAACCCCUUGGGUGCCUCUGGCUGAUCCAGCUUGGUGUGAGCUCGGGUGCAAAACGACACUGCUGU